UCAGUUCUCAUUGAUAAUUUAAAGCUUCCACUUUAAUAACAGCUCACAUGUGUGCUCUGCGAGUGUUUGCAGAGGGCUCUCCCAUCACGGAGCCAGGGAACAAGGCAUUUAUUACUUCCAGUUUACAGCUGAGGAAGCACAGAGGGUGCCUGCGGAGGUUGGAGGCAAUAGGCAUGGGAUCCUCUUGGAGCUGACAGUUGUGAACCAUCAGAUGUGGGUGCUGGGAACUGAACUCAGGUCCUCUGGAAGACCAAUCUGCCCUGCAUCUGAAGCCUUGUUAUCCAUGCUGUUGGUGUGGUGGUCAGAUCACAAGUCCAACACCAGCGUCUGCUACAUGAGAGCUUACGCAAGCCUACGUAGGCAGAAGUGUCUGAGGAGAGCUUGUUACAUAGACACAAAUAUUUUUGCCUCUUCUGCUUUAAAGGGCUGCUGUAACUUGCACCUUCCUUUUCCAGUGAACCCCACAAAUAGACAUCAUCGAAAGCCAAA